UACGGAGGAUGCGAGCGUUGCCCGGAUUUACUGGGUUUAAAGGGUGCGUAGGCGGGCGAUUAAGUGAGAAUUGAAAGGCAGUCGCUCAACGAUUGUAAGGUUCUCAUACUGGUUGUCUUGAGAGUAGUGGAGGCAGAUGGAAUGAGUGGAGUAGCGGUGAAAUGCAUAGAGACCACUUGGAACACCGAUUGCGAAGGCCGUCUGCUACGCUAUACCUGACGCUGAGGCACGAAAGAGUGGGGAGCAAACAGG
rnacentral:rRNA from 1 species